UACGGAGGGGGCUAGCGUUGUUCGGAAUUACUGGGCGUAAAGCGCACGUAGGCGGCUUUGUAAGUUAGAGGUGAAAGCCCGGGGCUCAACUCCGGAAUUGCCUUUAAGACUGCAUCGCUAGAAUUGUGGAGAGGUAAGUGGAAUUCCGAGUGUAGAGGUGAAAUUCGUAGAUAUUCGGAAGAACACCAGUGGCGAAGGCGACUUUCUGGACUGUAACUGACGCUGAGGCAUGAAAGCGUGGGGAGCAAACAGG
rnacentral:rRNA from 1 species